CCUACGGUGGGUAGCAGUGAGGAAUAUUGGUCAAUGGGCGCGAGCCUGAACCAGCCAAGUCGCGUGAGGGAAGACGGUCCUAUGGAUUGUAAACCUCUUUUGUCGGGGAGCAAAAGACGCCACGCGUGGCGUUCCGAGAGUACCCGACGAAAAAGCAUCGGCUAACUCCGUGCCAGCAGCCGCGGUAAUACGGAGGAUGCGAGCGUUAUCCGGAUUUAUUGGGUUUAAAGGGUGCGCAGGCGGAAGAUCAAGUCAGCGGUAAAAUUGAGAGGCUCAACCUCUUCGAGCCGUUGAAACUGGUUUUCUGGAGUACAGUUGAGGUAGGCGGAAUUCGUGGUGUAGCGGUGAAAUGCUUAGAUAUCACGAAGAACCCCGAUUGCGAAGGCAGCUUACUAAACUGUGACUGACAUUGAUGCUCGAAAGUGUGGGUAUCAAACAGGAUUAGAUACCCCUGUAGUC
rnacentral:rRNA from 1 species